UAUAUGUAGAGAAGUUCAUAAAAGGAAGUGUCUAUGUGGAGUUUUGGUGUAAGAGAGAAUGCAUGUGUAUAGUAUGGAGAGCAUUAAUAGUGUCAGAAAUUGAUGUAUUAUAGAAUUUAAUCCUUAAAUUUGUUGCAAAAUUGUAAGUUGAAUUUGCAGUAAAAGUGGAAAAAUAAGGUCAAAGUAUGUUCCAUUUUAAGGACCCAUGUUUGGCACGCACGCGGUAUAUUUGUCCUGAAGGGCCCAAAAUCUUGUCCACUUUACCGGCAAGUCCGCCGCCACGACAGCACGUAGCGUACCGACAAGUUAAUCGCCGACUCCAAUCUCCAAAACCCCCACUCUAAAACCAUCCUAAACAAUCUCUCCGUCUUCUUCUACUGCACAUUUGUCUCUCAUUCCUUCUUCUCUUGCAGUCACAAAAGUGACCUUUUUCCAGCUCAUGGCCUUUUUUGUUAUCGACUCUUUUGAUUUGUGAACAGAAGGAUUCCAUCAAGCUCUCUCGAUCCAAUGUAUUGACCUCUGUUCCAAACUCAGAGUAAAGUGAACUACUUGUAAGUUUGUAACUUGCUUGUUCCCUCCCAGAUACUAUCUCCCUUACAAACUCCGCCUACACCUCUGUCCUAUAAUGUCUAUUAAAUCAGAGGUAUUUUCAGAUUUUAAUGCUUGAAUUACUUCCCUUGCCCGAAGAAGCAAAAUCCGUAACACUGACCUGUCUUUCGCCAGUAAUGCUUACUUUUACUCGAAGUCCCCACCGUUUCGCUCCAAACCCACCUGUCUUUGUACUCGUGUGUUAAAUCCAUCGUUUGAGCUGCUUCCGGGGCCUUUCUGUAUCACAACCAUGACUCCUAAUCACAGUACAAUGGCUAAGAGCAAUCCUCCGCCAGAAAACACAAUGACCCACUUACAGUUUUUUAGGAAAUUCAAGCGUUUGAACCCUCUCGAGCCCUCCCUUGCAAUUCUUGGUUUCUUUUUCGUCACUAUUUUGUUCAUUUGCGGCAUCUUUUACUUUGAUUACCGGUCCAUUGCCAGUGGGCUUCGUAAUAGUGGGACUGCUUGGCUUGGUUUGCGUAUUUCUUCUUCAUCGUCAAUGGUGGGGGAUGCACUGCCAGGAUUCCUUGAUGAAGGAGGGGAUGGUUGUGAUGUUUUCGAUGGGACUUGGGUUUGGGAUGACAGCUACCCUCUGUACCAAUCCCAAACUUGUUCAUUUUUGGACGAAGGUUUCAGGUGUAAUGAAAAAGGAAGGCUUGAUGUCUUCUAUACCAAGUGGCGUUGGCAACCUAAAAACUGCAACUUGCCCAGGUUUGAUGCGAGCAAGAUGUUAGACAAGUUACGUAACCAGCGACUUAUAUUUGUUGGUGAUUCAAUUGGGAGGAAUCAAUGGGAGUCCAUGCUCUGCAUGCUCUCCUCUGCUAUUUCCAACAAAAGUUUAGUUUAUGAGGUGAAUGGGAACCCAAUAACAAAGCACUCAGGGUCCUUGGUAUUCAAGUUUGAGGACUUCAACUGCACUGUUGAGUACUACAGGUCACCCUUUCUUGUUGUUCAGGGACAUCCUCCAGUAGAUGCUCCAAAAGAAGUGAAGAUGACUUUAAAAGUGGAUCAAAUUGACUGGAUUUCUUACCAGUGGAGAGAUGCAGAUAUCUUGAUUCUCAAUGCUGGACAUUGGUGGAACUAUGAGAAGACAAUACGAGAGGGCUGUUACUUUCAAGAAGGGGAAGAGGUGAAGAUGAAUAUGAGCAUUGGUAACGCUUUCAGAAAAUCAAUUCAGACUGUAAUUGAUUGGAUAGGCAAAGAAGUGAACUCAAACAAGACUUACGUCCUUUUCCGAACCUAUUCUCCUGUUCAUUUCAGAGGCGGUAAUUGGAAUGCUGGUGGUGGUUGUCACUUAGAAACGCUCCCUGAUUUGGGGUCAUUACUUGAUUAUCAGGGAACUCACUUUAAAACGGUUAUAGAAGUGUUAUCAGAGCGGUCAAACAAGUCACAAAUGGUGAAAUUGGAUUUGUUGAAUGUGACUACCAUGACAUUAAGUAGAAAAGAUGGUCAUCCUUCGGUGUAUUACCUUGGGGGAAAGACUAGCCCCGCUUUUCUCCACCAUCAAGACUGCAGUCACUGGUGUCUUCCUGGAGUUCCUGAUUCUUGGAAUGAGCUUGUUUAUGCUCUUCUCAUGAAGCGAGACAUCGUUCGUCCUCAAGUUCCAACGAAACCUUGAGUGACAUUAAUGCAGGAUUUUGGAUAUUGGUUCCUUGGUUGUCAACCAAACUCAGUAUGACAACCUAACUUCACAUUCGGAAAGCAUGGCUUGAGCAUUUUCAAUUACCAAGCAAAGAAUAUUUCUUCCUUGGGUGAAAUUUACUAGUGUUCACAACUUCACAUGCUGGUAUUUGCUGCAAUUUGCCAAGCAUUAUUCAGGCGAACCACAAGUUGCUGGCGGCAUGACAUCAAACUAGGAUCACACCCUUGGUUGCUGGAUAUAGGCUGCUGAGGCACUUGUUUUCCCAAGGGGUCAGAAAUCGAAUUGAAGAACCUCUGGGGUGGUCCAUCCUCUGGGAGAAAAAGGAAGGACUGAGCUCUGUCAGUAAAGCCCUUCUUCCUGUCUUUGCAUACCCAUUUGGGCAUAGUGUUCAGAGAAGAAUAAAUAAGAUUGUCAAUAGAUUUAUUGAAUAACAAUUUUUCAGCGAAGCAAUGAGGAAAGCACCAAUCAGGUGUCCUGAUAUCUUCAUUUAAAGUUGAAAAAGAAAAAGUGAAAAACACGAUCCCGAAUCCCGACCAGAUAAGACAAAGAGACACAACUUGCAAGGAAGUGAAACGAGUGCAAUUCAAAGAGAAAAGAUAGGAUUGAGCACGCACACACUAGUUGGAUGGGAUCCAUUGAAUAGAAGAGAACGCAUAUGUUUGGAUGGUUUGAAACUGAAGAGUCUUCGUUUAAUCAUCAAAUGGGUAUUGCUCGUACCUAAUUGCACAGUCAUUGAGCACCGCACGACCCCCAAUUCUCAUUUGACACGUUCCCAACAUGUUGCUCUUAGCAGCGCCAAGACAAGUGGUGCAGUCUGAGGUUGUCAGAUUUUGGUUACAGGAAACAUGACCGUAAGCGAAGGCAUUAGGGUAAGGAGAUAUGUUGUAGAAAUCAUAUUUCUUGCUGCUGGGAGUUGAAUUCCCCAACUCUUCCAGAACAUAACUCAGACUCACUGCAAAAGGAUCGCCCCCCGUGAAUAUUCCAGAGUUGCACAAAACAGACUUCACUCCAGUGUUUGGAACGCACACCACCAUAGUGGACAAACCAAAGAAAGCGAGAAAAGCCGCUGAGAUCUUCAGACUAGAAUCAUCCAUCUCUUCUUCUUCCUUGAGUUUUGAUCUGGUUUCAGAAUGGACGACCUUUGAAGUUGAAACAUAAGUGGGUCCAAUCUAUUUUCUUGGUUUUUUCCCAUUCUCUGUGAAUAGUCUUUCUUUUAAAAAAAAACAUAUAUUGUCUGGAUAUGUUUAUCUCUUUCUCUGGUUUUGACUUGUUCUCCCUCCAUUUGUCAUUUUCAUAAUGUCUCAGUUUUUCGAAGGAGAAACCAAUGAGUUCUAUUCACAA